rnacentral:rRNA from 1 species
UUGAAAGGGAAACGAUUGAAGUCAGUCGUACCUGUGGGUAAUCAGCCUUUUGGGUGUGAUUUUGUGGAGUGUGAGGAGUUAAACGCCUUCAUGCCUGCAUAUUCGUGCACUUUGGGUGUAUUUACCCGUGUGGUAAGUUAACAUCAAUUUCGGUGGUCAUAAAAUGGCUGGAGGAAUGUAGCUUCGAUCUCGUAUUGAAGUGUUAUAGCCUUCGGUAGAUGUGAUAAUCGGGAUUGAGGAUUGCAACGGAUACCCUUCGGGGCUACCUGUCUGAUCUCUGAUCGUUGCUCUGGUGCCGAAAGCUUGCUUACGGUUAUCAAAGUCGAUGGUCAAUAGGUAGAACGGGUCAACUUCGUUAAGGAUGUUGACGUA